GGGGUGUGAUCAGAGCAGGGAGCCUGAAGCAUGGCUGCUCUGUUUACAACACAUCCAACAGGAACCUGGGUUUACUCCGCCCGGGUGGCAGGAUACUUUGACCUUCCUGU